GGUGAGCUGGUAGAGAGGUGCGGGAUUAUCGUCGAUUGGACAGAGUUAACUCCACCCGCAGUUUUAUCUUCAUCCAACCUGCGCCCACGCAUCUCUAUUACAUUUGUUAAAUGAGUAUUAAUGCGGAUGAUUUCAUGAAUACAAAGAAUCAUUUUGGUGAAGCCUUAGCGAUUUAAAGGUUUUUUAUGGAUAGAAUGAUUCAUUUAUGCCUAACGAAGAUCGUUAACUAUUGUAGAAUGGUAGAGUUGAAUAUUAAAAAAUUGGGAGCGAAGGAGUUGAGUGGUGUACAUGGAAAGAAAAAUUGUUGAAUUUUUGGGAAUUUUCCGGUAUUGAAAAAGAGCAAAAACAAUACGAUCACAUUACAGAGAUAUAUAAUGUUUAUAUUAAUACUAUGAGGUUAUUGUUUUCUGGAGAGGCCUGGAUAGGUCGAGAAGCUAGUGGCGAAAUGAACUGAAGGGAAAAAUCUUCUGGUUGAUGAACGAAAUCAAAUCACUUCUUUACCGGAGCAUUGUUGAUGGAAUUAGGGAGUGAAGGCGAAGGGAAUUGAAUUUUACAGCGGAUCGUUGCCGAGCAACUGGGAGAAUAUAAAUUUGAUCAAUUUGUUAUGUCUGUCUCCCAUUCUGUAUCAAUCUUUCACAAUAGGCUGAAUAAAUGCAUUAGAGUCCCUUCUUCAUCGCGAAUUUUUCUCAAAUUCACUGUCAAUUUCGUCAAUCAAGAACGACAAAUUACGAGAAGAAAGAAAAACAAAAUUUUCGGAAUCUGAAGAAUAUUGUUGACCCGAAGAUUUCGUCCCCUGAAAAUUUAGUGAUUUCUGCACGAAAAUUUUGCAAUGGGGCAUGCGCAUCUCAUACUAAAGCACGAAGAUUCAAAUAUUCAGUUUAAAAAAAUAUAUUCGUCUAAUAAUCAAAAUUUUUUUCGCUGAAGUAGACACUUCAGAUAAUAAAAAAAAUCCUUGGCUGAUCUUCAUUUAGAGUCACUCGAAGAGCAACUCCCUACAGAGAGAAAAAUUCCUUAGAAAUUACUUUCCUGUUCCAUAAUCUGCCAGUGAUAAUAGUAAUCACUAAAAAAUUACCAAACAGUUACGCAUUUUUUUCCUGAACGUUCCACAUUUUAUCUGGAACAUUUUAGAUUUUUUCCUGAAAGUUCACAGUAAUUUUUACUGAUUAUUAUUUUGAUGGGCAGAUUACCGAACCAGCAGGUAAUUAUUUCAAGAAUUUUUCUUUCCCUGUAUCGACCGAAAAUGGUUCUCUAAUUUUUAGCAGAAUCAAAAUAUUAUCAGGAGAGGAAAUUUUUUUCUUUCUGGGUAUUGAGUGUUUUAUCAAGUUGACCGGGGCAACAUAACUCAGGUAGAUUUUCAUCGAUAUGAUGGAAACAGUGGCAGAGUAAGGGGAUAUCACAAGCACUCUGCUGUUCGCCCCAACCACCCGGCGAAAACUUGCUCGAACAACUUCGAGACCUGUUUUCCUCGCACCGCAGCAUCACGACGUGCACUCCGACGUGGUACAUCGAUUCAUACACCCAAAUUACCUAAAGUCGCGAUGGGCCAUACGCCAAAUAAAGGCGUAUGAAGGGAUUCUUCGGGCUACCGAUCGCCAAGACGUGUCCCUGAGGAGGAAGAUUCGUCUUUAGGAAGUUUGCACGGAGAGAAAAAUCUGCGAAUGAUUACUGUGCACUAGAAUCGAGGUGCAACAUGAUGGAAUACUGGAAUGAAUGUCGUUUACUCACACAAAAAAAAUCCUAUCGACACCGUAAAUUUUGUUAUAAAUUUUCUAAUCAAUGAUAUAGAGUUUAGUAAAAUUGACAACACAGAACUAUAAAAUUUAAAGGUCUAUAAUUUUUUAUUUGCGGUUAAAUGAAAAAUUGAUAGAAAAUUUUUAAAAAAUCCUAUCGAGGUCGAGAUUUAUUUUAUGGGGACUUUCUUCACUUUUUACUGUGCUACACAACAAUUUUUUUAGUAAUUUAUUGUGAUCGGUUUACGAUGAGCGUCGAAUGUAGCCGAUUAUUGCCGACGUCGGACUUCCAUCAGAUUUUGAAUUUUUACGAGGCCGAUAUAGAAGUCUUCCUAAGUGGAUAAAGAACUUUACUAUGCGGCAUAGUAAUUUUUCUCAGGUCUGCAGUUUGCGCCGAGAUUUUAUCGGAUAAUUUUUAUCGGAAUCACACACACAUUGUCACAUUAUUCUCUCCGUGUGAAACCCGAUUGAAUGUAGGGUUGUCCUGAGGAGAGUGCGAUCUGUAUACGAAAACGUCCUCGCUGGUCAGCCUGAGAGAAUUAGAGGAAAGAAGAAUUUUUCUAAUUUUAAUGAUCGGAGUAUUUGCCGAGUUCUGAUUGUCUCUCAACCCUCAAGUGAUCGUUGCUCUUCUCCGAACGCACUUCAUCGCGAGGCAAGAGAUUACCUGCCCCCGGUGUUUUACGAUUUCGUGUAAAAACGAGAAAUAAAAAAAAAACCUUGUGCCCCCUCUUUUAUGAACCUGAACCUUCAAUGAAUAGAAAAUGGGGUGUAAAGGGUCUGCAGCGAUCACAUAAACCAAGAACUCACUCCCAUUAAGGACACAAUUUUUAAUUAUUAUAAUUUAUAUGUUGUAGUUUGGCUGGACGAAAAUGUUCGUGUGUUCAAACUUUGAAAAUCACUAAUAUCAUUUUUUAGGAAUUUUGAAUUGACAAAGUGUCGACGAAUAUCAAGAAACCCCUAGUAAUUAUGCAAAUAGAAAUGUGGUAAUUUCGAAAUUAUGUAAUAAAAAAAUUGCAAUUAAACAAUUCUAAAAAUAAGUAAAUGUUUUAACCUUAAAAAAAACCUUCUCAACAUUAAAAAUAAUUUAUUUUUAUGCAAAUAUCCUAAUAUUUCACUUUAAUCGAUUUUCCUAUGUGAAAUUCACGAUUUCUUCACUUCUCAAAUUAAUACAUUUAAUUAUGUAAGAUCAGCAAUUAAUGUGAGUUCAUUA